AUAUGGUUAAGGAUUAAACUACUUUGUACACACUAAGUGUUCACCUUGAUUGACACCCUCCUAUGUGUACAAAUUCUGGCGGUUAGAUUGGAAAAGGUAUUGCUAAGAUCAAUGUACCAAAAUCUGCCAACUCACAUGGGUGCAUAGUGUCAACUUUUAUGUACAUAUAGCAUGGUCCAUAGGUUAAAGCCUUUUGAUUGUUUGCAUGGAGCACAUUUUAUUUCAUUUUUGAUGUAACAUUGGUUUCUUUCAACUUGGGUUCUAUUGUGCUUCUGGAACAUAAUUUUAAAACUUUUUUCCCAUCUUUUAUGUUACAUUGAUUUUCAGAAUCUGGUUUCUAAUUCAGUUGUAUUUCUGGAGCUUAAUCUUAAAAAUUUUCUCUGUAAGUUGAUAAAAUACCAAAACAAUCAUUCUAAAUAUUGAAGGGUAAUUGAGGCUGACGGAUGCAGCAUGUUAAUGCCUGUCUCAUGACAUAUUUGGUAUCCAAUAUUAAAUUUUGUUAGUAAUAAUGUCUAGAGCUACACUAUACACAUUACAUACAAGCCAUAAGCUUCCCUACUUUCAGAUUCAUGUGAUUGCAUCAGAAUACAUCCUUUCCUUGCCUCAAAACUUGGUUUGGAGCACACUUUAGGAUUACAUCUGACACUUUAAUUUGAACAUGUGAAACUAGGUUUUGAUUCUCUUUUGAAUUUAUAUUUGGUGUUUUACUACUCGAUUCCAUUGAGUGAAUGUUAGUUCUCGUUUCUUGUUAGAGAAUUAAAUUUAUUGAAAUGUGCCCUUUACUGGGCCAUUCGUGAAUUCACUAGAUAUUGAUUUUCUGAUCUGCCUCAUGUCUUAUCCAGAUAUUGUCUUUAUUGAGUCAUUCUUAAAAAAGAGGAGUUCUUUAAUUACAAGAUAUCAGGAAUCGGAUUCAUUAUAGGAUCUAUUUAGGUUUUUAAGGAGAUGGCAUGCUGCCACUCGGACUCGAACCGAGAUGAUCUUAGGAAGCAGUCCUGUUGGCCGAGCUUCUGUCGAGCCAGAGAUUUUUUUCCAGUUAUCCAUGUGAUACCUUUUCUCUUCGCAUUCAUUCAAGAUAUUGUGGGAAUGAACCUAUUCCUGAAUUUAAUGAAUUAGUUCCUGCAGAUACACUGUGGAUCAAUCCUUCUCCUGCUGGACAUUUCCACUUCUUAUUUCCUGGUGUAGAUGAAAAUUAUGCAACUAUGAAAAUGAUUUUUAUUAAAGUUGUAAUUGUAAUUUUGACCUAUUUGAGCCUUUUAAUGUCGAUGGUUCCUUGAAAGAAUUGAAGCUCCUACUGCAUGUUUUAGAAGUUACAUCUUUCUUACUAUGUUGAUAAUAUUGCUUUUACGUUUUUCAACAUCACAUAAUACUAAAGUGAAACACACUUAUUGUUCCAGUGAGAUCACUUCAGAAGGGCGGAGAAUAACGAAGCUUGAUCAAAUCUUGCUCAACGGAAACAAUAUUGCCAUUCUGGUUCCUGGUGGCUCACCUGACCCAGAAUAAGGUUGUCAGUUCCAGUUUGUUGAAUUAGUUUAUAAAACAACUGGUUAGCAUAUAAUCUACAAUUGUUGGUACAAUCUUAAUUGUUGAGAAAAAAUGUUAAUUCGAUGGAUCUUUAUGUUUGCGCUUUGUAUAUCGAAAGGGUUUGGCAGUUUGGCUUGAUGCUUGCUGGAAAAAGGGCCAACAGAUCGUUCAUUUCGAUAUUGAUGAAGAAUGCAUAUUCAAUUCUGGAAGUUUCUUGUAUAACAGAUCUUCAAGUAAUGAAUUUUUGUGCUGUUAAUUCAAUAUGCUGCUUUUUGCAAUUCCUUC